GACGAACGCUGGCGGCGUGCCUAAUACAUGCAAGUAGAACGCAGAAGGAGGAGCUUGCUUCGCUGGAUGAGUUGCGAACGGGUGAGUAACGCGUAGGUAACCUGCCCUGUAGCGGGGGAUAACUAUAGGAAACGAUAGCUAAUACCGCAUAAUAGCAGAUGUUGCAUGACAUUUGCUGAAAAGGUGCAAUUGCAUCACUACCAGAUGGACCUGCGUAGCAUUGGCUUGUUGGUGGGGUAACGGCUCACCAAGGCGACGAUACGUAGCCGACCUGAGAUGGGGAGCAGCCACACUGGGACGGGGACACGGCCCAGACGCCUACGGGAAGCAGCAGUACGGAAACGUCGGCAAUGGGCGGAAGUCUGACCGAGCAACGCCGCGUGAGGGAAGAAGGUUGUCGGAUCGGGAAGCUCUGUUGUAAGGGUAGAACGAGUGUGAGAGUGGAAAGUUCACACUGUGACGGUAACUGACCAGAAAGGAACGGCUAACUACGUG
rnacentral:rRNA from 1 species